rnacentral:rRNA from 1 species
AUGCAUCUGUUACCGGCCGCCGCCCGCGAACGCCCAACCGCCACUUCUUUUCCUUUCCCGCCAGCCUGCGCCCGUCCGCCCUCUCGCGACCCUCCUGACCGCCGCCGCCCCCCGCCAUCCGGCGCCGCCAUGGCCGAAGGCGACGACCCCGCCGCCGCCGCAGCCGGUGGGCUGUCCCACGUGGCCGCCGCCGCUGCCAUCUCGCCUGCAACCGCUGCCUUGCCGCCGCCCCCCGCCCGCCGGCCCGGAUUGGCGCCGCCCCGGCCGGUGGCCACCGCGCCGCCGGCGAAGCCGGCGAAGGGACGAGGCGGCGGAAAACGGCCGGCCAACCGCAGCCGCAACCCGACCGACUGUUCUACGCAGUCGGUGAAGGUCUCUAAGGCGGCCGCGGCGGCUCGGGGCAAUGACUCGCAGACGGUGCGGCCGGCGGCCUCCUCCAGCAGCCACACAUCCAUUCCUCAACCUCCCCUGCUGCCACCGCCGGCCGUGGAGGAAGAUGUGGCCACGCCGACGGCCACCGCCUCCAACAUGUUCGACGAAAUGUCGCAAAGCGUUGAUGAUGAAGCUUUCAUGCACGCGACAAAUGUGGCAAAUGAUGAUUACAUGUAUGCGUCACAAGAAUAUGAAACCCAAUAUGAUGAUGACAAUCUUGAUCUGGACGAUGAGGGCUUUGUUGUCAAGGGAAGAAGUGGAAAUUAUACCACCGCGGAGGAUGUGUUGAUAUGCACCGCUUGGAAGAAAAUCUCUCAAGAUGCAAGCGUUGGAAGCGACCAAACGGUGAACACCUAUUGGCAACGCAUCAAGGAGUACUUCGAUGAGCGCAACACAAGUGGUCACUUCCGUUCGAGCGACUCUCUACGCCAACGUUGGUCCACCAUCAACGCUGAAUGCCAAAAGUGGGCCGGUUGCUUGUCAAACGUUGCUCGCAUGAACCCAAGUGGUUCCGGUGAUAGUGACUUGAAAAUGAUUGCACAAGGAUUGUAUCGAGAGAGGAACAUGAAAGGCAAGAAGAAGAAAAGGAAAGGAAAAGCUUUCACUUUUCAUCAUUGCUACAAAGAGCUCAAGGAUGUGGAGAAGUGGAAAACUAGAGAGACUUUUGAAUCAUCGAAGAAGAAGAGUGCGGUGCUUGAGGAUAAAGAAGAUGUCGCCAUUGAGGAGACGAGCCCCACUCCUCACUCCGCGACAAAAUCUUAUAGGCCCGAUGGAAACAAGAAAGCUAAGGGAACCAAGGCCGGAGAGAAUGAUCUCAAGGAAGGAUUUGAUGCCAUUGUCAUGGCGAGGAAAGAGUAUGCCGAAGAGAAAAGAAUCUUGAAGAUCAAGGAAAUAGAGGAGAGGAGUGAGGCCGAGCGGCGAAGGGCGACGGCCGAGGAGAAGAGGGUGGCAGCCGAGGAGAGGUUGGCCGCGGCCGAGGAGAGGAAGGUGGACCUAGAGGAGAAGAAGGCUGCGGCCCACGAGAGGAAGAUGGUUGAGGAGAGGACACUCAAGUUUAUGUUUAUGGACACAUCAACUCUUGAUGCCAAGGCAAAGGCAUAUGUUGAACUUUGUCGCGAUGAAAUGCUCAUGAAGAAGCAAAUGCUCAUGAGGCAAAUGAUGAUGGGAGGAGGCAUGGGAGGUGCCAUGGGAGGUGCCAUGGGAGAUGCCAUGGGAGGAGGCAUGAGAGGAGGCAUGGGAGGUGCCAUGGGAGGAGGCAUGGGAGGUACCAUGGGUGGUUACAUGAACAUGAUUGGAGUUUCCAUGAAUGGUGCAUUUGGCGGAAACAUGGGAGGUGGCUUCGGUGGCAACAUGGAAGGUGGCUUUGGUGGCAUGGGAGGUGGUUUUGGCGGCAACAUGAUGGGUGGCUUGGGAGGUGGCUAUGGCGGCAACAUGAGUGGCGUUGGAGUUGGCUUCGUCGGCAACAUGACCGGUAUGGGACGCAAUGAAGAUGCUUCCGGUGGUGCUCACGGCAAUGAGAGUUCACCGCUUGUUGAGAACGUCGACAAAGACGGUGGUGAAGAUGAUGAUCGUACCACGGUUCACAACGCCGGUGGUGUUGAUAACCCGCAUGAGUAA